CUUCAGUUUGUCAGAACCAGUUGGGAUGCAACAGGAUUUUCAGUUUUGCUGCCUUCCAUGCAUGAAUGGCUUCUGUUAGGUUGGAAUGACCAAGAUGAUUUUUCCACCCAUUCUUGGGACCUGGACUAUGAUGGCCACAGCAGCUAAAGAUGCCAGGUUCUGCAUACUAUGAAACUACUACAUCAGCAGGUCCAAAGGACUCCACUGACUCAACUGAUCUGAGGGACCCCAUGAGAAGCCUACUCAUCAAAGAAUGCAGUUUCUAAAUCCUGAUGAGUUCACCCCCCUUGCCCUGACCAAUCAACAAUCCUAAUUCUCCAGUCCCUUGCCCUCCAUGAUCCUCUUAAAAACCCUAGCCCAGAAUUCCUCAGGAAGAUGGAUUUGAGGGUCUCCUUCCAACUCCUCACUCAGCGCCCUGUGGUCAUUAAACUUUCUCUGCUGCAUCCCUGCUGUCUCAGUGUAAUGAUUCUGUUAUUGUGCCGUGGGCAUACAAACCUGUUUGUCCUGUAUCAGGCAAGUCUCCCUGUUAUAUAUUUUCAUGGCA
rnacentral:lncRNA from 1 species